rnacentral:rRNA from 1 species
UACGUAGGGUGCGAGCGUUAAUCGGAAUUACUGGGCGUAAAGCGUGCGCAGGCGGUUCGUUAAGUCAGCUGUGAAAGCCCCGGGCUUAACCUGGGAAUGGCGGUUGAAACUGGCGAACUUGAAUCUGGCAGAGGGGGGUGGAAUUCCACGUGUAGCAGUGAAAUGCGUAGAGAUGUGGAGGAACACCGAUGGCGAAGGCAGCCCCCUGGGCUGAGGUUGACGCUCAGGCACGAAAGCGUGGGGAGCAAACAGG